rnacentral:rRNA from 1 species
AGCGAACGCUGGCGGCAGGCCUAAUACAUGCAAGUCGAACGGCUCUUCGGAGCAGUGGCGGACGGGUGAGUAACGCGUGGGAAUGUGCCCUUUGGUACGGAACAACACAGGGAAGCUUGUGCUAAUACCGUAUGUGCCCUUCGGGGGAAAGAUUUAUCGCCAUUGGAGCAGCCCGCGUUGGAUUAGGUAGUUGGUGAGGCAAAGGCUCACCAAGCCUACGAUCCAUAGCUGGUCUGAGAGGAUGACCAGCCACACUGGGACUGAGACACGGCCCAGACUCCUACGGGAGGCAGCAGUAGGGAAUCUUGCGCAAUGGGCGAAAGCCUGACGCAGCCAUGCCGCGUGUAUGAUGAAGGUCUUAGGAUUGUAAAAUACUUUCACCGGGGAAGAUAAUGACGGUACCCGGAGAAGAAGCCCCGGCUAACUUCGUGCCAGCCGCCGCCGUAACAC